rnacentral:ncRNA from 2 species
CUCUUAUCAAGAGUGGCAGAGGGACUGGCCCUAUGACGCCCAGCAACCAUCUCAGAUCGUGAGAAAGGUGCUAAUUCCAGCAAACGAGCAAUCGUUUGAAAGAUAAGAG